ensembl:ncRNA T26H10.7 ncRNA
UAUAGAUAUUUUUGGUUCUAUUUCGAGAACCCAACGUCAUCACAUACUACUAUUUUUGGGUGAAAAAGGGACUCUUUUCCUUUUUUUCUCGAAUUCUUCUGCUUGCUUUCCCCUUAUUUUGCCCCUCUGGAUCGUCGGUAAAUGAGAAU